rfam:Stegodyphus mimosarum contig19357, whole genome shotgun sequence.
GUCUUUGUGGUGUAAUUGUCAGCACGCUGGACGAGUAUUCCAGAGGUCCGUGGUUCGAGUCCCGGCGAAGGCG